rnacentral:lncRNA from 1 species
CCAGCACGAUGGCCGUGCGAUCCGUCGAGUUAUCAUGAAUCAUCGCAGCAAUGGGCAUAGCCCGCGUCGACCUUUUAUCUAAUAAAUGCAUACCUUCCCGAAGUCGGGGCUUGUUGCACGUAUUAGCUCUAGAAUUACUACGGUUAUCCAAGUAGUAGAUGCCAUCAAACAAACUAUAACUGAUUUAAUGAGCCAUUCGCAGUUUCACAGUCUGAAUUUGUUCAUACUUACACAUGCAUGGCUUAAUCUUUGAGACAAGCAUAUGACUACUGGCAGGAUCAACCACGUAGCAUUCCUCAUUGACGCCGGCGUCGCAUGAGCGUGGCCGACCCAAAAGGGCACGGCCAAGUCCAAGGCGAGCACGACCAUUAUUCGUAAGGAGCAUUCUUUGGGCAGAUAGAGGCUAAUGAAGGCCCCGUGCCCAUUGCGUUUACCGAAUCCGAGAGCCCGAGCAUGCUAUGUCGUGGACCAAGCCAUCGCAAGGCGAAGCUAGGACGACCUGGGUGAACGCGAGGAGCAAAAGGUGACCGAUUGUACUUUAUAAUGCCUUGGCAUUAGGUAUGCAACACAGAAAACCAACGUCGAACAAGCCCAGUUUGCGCUUGUGACAUGACUGAGAUGGCAUGUGAGCUAGGACAUCACUGCUCGAGCCGGGAUCCAACCUAGCCUCACAAGCCGAACACCACUCAUGUGCCGCACGUACAAGUAGAACUCCCUCACGUUUCCCUCGUGUUUCCCAGCAAGUAAUUCCCUUGAACUUACUUCACUCAUUCUGCCUAAGCCUAAAGGUCCUAUUUAUUGGUCUUUAUGCUUAACCGCCCAUGACCAUGUUGUCUAACAGCUAUUGAUGCGCAGCCAUGUGUUUUUGCCGAUGCCAACAUUGCAAAGACAAGACAAGCCCCGCAAAGAACGAAUAGUGGGUUUGAACAAUGCCAGACACAACCCACAACAACCAAUGUCAAUCGGCAACUUACUAAGCUUCCCCUCGUGCGCACGGCACCUUGCGGCACUACUUGCAGGAUGCUUUGCAAUUUUGUUGCCAAAAGCCAUCAGCCGCCACGAGCGAUGUCGCCUCCCGAUGUUGCCCGCACAACCGAUGGCAAUCGGCAACAUACUAAGCUUCGCCUCGUUCGCACGGCACCUUGCGGCGCUACUUGCACGAUGCUUUGCCAUUUUGUUGCGAAAAGCCAUUAGCCGCCAUGAGCGAUGUCGCCUCCCGAUGUUGCCCGCAAAAACCGAUGGCAAUCAGUAACUUACUAAGAUUCGCCUCGUGCGCACGGCACCUUGCGGCACUACUUGCAUGAUGCUUUGCCAUUUUGUUGCCAGAAGCCAUCAGCUGCCACGAGCGAUAGUCCCCUCCCGAUGUUUCCCGCAACAACCGAUGGUAAUGAACAUCUACUGAGCUUCGCCACGUGCGCACGGCACCUUGCGGUGCUACUUGCACGAUGCUCCGCCAUUAGUUUUCAAAAGCCAAAGGCCGCCACGGAGACACAACCCACAACAAUCGAUGGCAAUAGGCAACUUACUAAGUUUCGCCCCAUGCGCACGGCUCCUUGCGGCGCUACUUGCACAACGCUCUGCCGUUCCAUUGCCGAAAGACAUCAACCGCCAUGAGCGAUGUUGCCCGCAACAACCAACGGCAAUCGACAUCUACUGAGGUUCGCCCCAUGCGCACGGCACCUUGCGGCACUAAUUGCACGAGGCUCCGCCGUUCUUAGUCGAAAGCCAUCAGCCGCAACGAGAGAUUCCAGACACAAGCCACAACAACCGAUGGCAAUCAACAACUUACUAUGCUUCAGCCCCUGCGCACGGCACCUUGCGACGCUACUCUGUUGUCGAAAGCCAUCAGCCGCCACGACUGAUGUCGCCUCCCGAUUUUUCCCGCAACAUCCAAUGGCGAUCAACAAGUACUAAGCUUCGCCCCAUGCGCACGGUACCUAGCGGCGCUACUUGCAUGACGCUCCAUCGUUCAUUGCCAAAAGCCAAUGUUUGCCACGAGCGGUGCCACCACCAGGCUUACUACGAGCCCACACGAGUACCUGCCGUAAUGGUUUGGGAACAUCGAGGACGUAGCACGGGCUUGUGCAUGCCCCCAAUGCCGAGCCCCAUGCCAGCGUCCCCCAUGCAUGCCCGCCCCUUCCUUGCAACAAGCACCUGAGGUGCCUUUCAACACCUGUACCUCCCUUAAAUAUGCUUAAAAAUAAACUACUUCCUAGCAGCAAGCUGAGGUGCCUUCCAACACCUCUACCCCCCUUAUAUAUGCUUAAAAAAAAAAUUCCAAGUUUCAGGAGUAGACAUGUUUUUUUCCAGAGAAUCAUAAUAGACAUGUACAACACCAAAUAGCACAAACUAAAGUAUAACAUGGCUAAUAUGUUCACAAAUUACUUUUAUACAUUGUAAAUGAUAUUUUUCACAAAAAAUAAUAUUUUUUGAAAUAUUUUUAUUUAAAAACGAAAAAUAUUUAAUAAAAUACUAAAAAAUAUGAAAAUUAUUACAAAAAUAGAAAAAAUGAUGGAGAAAAAUUCCAAUACAACUUGUAAUAGUAUAACAUAUAAAAGAGUAAAUAAAUACUAAAAAAUAUGAAAAUUAUUAUAAAAAUAGAAAAAAUGAUGGAGAAAAAUUCCAAUGCAACUUGUAAUAGUUUAACAUAUAAAAGAGUAAAUAUUUUUAUUAAAAAGCGACAUAAAAAUAAUUUAAAAUAACAAAAAAUGCAUAAAUAUUACUAAAACAUAUAUUAAAAAUNNNNNNNNNNNNNNNNNNNNNNNNNNNNNNNNNNNNNNNNNNNNNNNNNNNNNNNNNNNNNNNNNNNNNNNNNNNNNNNNNNNNNNNNNNNNNNNNNNNNNNNNNNNNNNNNNNNNNNNNNNNNNNNNNNNNNNNNNNNNNNNNNNNNNNNNNNNNNNNNNNNNNNNNNNNNNNNNNNNNNNNNNNNNNNNNNNNNNNNNNNNNNNNNNNNNNNNNNNNNNNNNNNNNNNNNNNNNNNNNNNNNNNNNNNNNNNNNNNCUCACCAACGACCACCAACAUCAUUGCGCUUGAAGUGUUGCCCAACCACAACAAGUGAUUAGGAUUUGAAGAAACCGCCGGCAACCACAAAGCGUCGACCGGCCGUCGCCCGACGCUACCGCUUGAACCACCCCGACUUUCCACCACCGCUGCCAACGACCACCUAGAUCAUUGCGCUUGACAUGUUUCUAAGCAUUGGUUAGCAAUAGACGUGGUCUGAUGUCGUGCGAUGGCCAUGUCCUGCAACGUCCUGACACGUCCCGAAACGUCCUGACACGUCCUGACACGUACCAUGACCAUAUCCUGCUAUGUCUUGCGACGUACUGACACGUACCAUGGCCAUGUCCUGACGCGUCCUGACACGUACCAUGGCCAUGUACUGACGCCUCCUGACACGUGCCGUGGCCAUGUCUUGACGCGUCCUAACACGUGCCAUGGCCAUGACCUGACGCGUCCUGACACUUGCCAUGGCCAUGUCCUGACACGUCCUGAUACGUACCAUGGCCAUAUCCUGCCAUGUCAUGCGACGUCCUGCCAUGUCCCGACGCAUCCUGACACGUGCCAUGGCCAUGUCCUGACGCGUCCUGACACGUACCAUGGCCAUAUCCUGCAGCGCACGGUAGCUUCGCGCCACUGGCUUGACCAAUUGUGCGAAUCAACGGUUCCUCUCGUACUAGGUUGAAUUACUAUUGCAACAUUAUCAUCAGUAGGGUAAAACUAACAUGUCUCACGACGGUCUAAACCCAGCUCACGUUCCCUAUUGGUGGGUGAACAAUCCAACACUUAGUGAAUUCUGCCUUACAAUGAUAGGAAGAGCCGACAUCGAAGGAUCAAAAAGCAACGUCGCUAUAAACGCUUGGCUGCCAGAAGCCAGUUAUCCCUGUGGUAACUUUUCUGACACCUCUAGCUUCGAAUUCAGAAGGUCUAAAGGAUCGUUAGGCCACGCUAUGUCCUGCCAUGCCCUGCGACAUCCUAACUCGUGCCAUGGCCACGCCCUGCCAUGUCCUACGACGUCUGACUCGUGCCAUGGCCACGCCAUGCCAUGUCCUGACGCGUCCUGACACGUGCCAUGGCCAUGUGGUGAUGUGUCCUGACACGUGCCAUGGCCAAGUCCUGACGCGUCCUGACUCAUUCCAUCGCCACGCCCUGCCAUGCCCUACCAUGCACUGCGACGUCAUGAGUCAUGCCAUGGCCACGCCCUGCCAUGGCCUGCGAUGUCUCGACUCGUGCCAUGGCCACUCACUGCCAUGUCCUGACACGUACCAUGGCCAUGUCCUUACGCGUCCUGCGACGUCCUGACUCUUGCCAUGGCUACGCCCUGCCAUCCCUUGCGACGUCGUGAGUCAUACCAUGGCCACGCCCUGCCAUGCUCUGCGAUGUUAUGAGUCAUGCCAUAAUCACGCCCUGCCAUGUCCUGCGACGUCCUGAUUGGUGCCAUGGCCACGCCCUGCCAUGUCCUGCGACGUCCCGACUCGUGCCAUGGCCACGCCCUGCCAUGUCCUUAAACGUACCAUGGCCAUGUCCUGACGCGUCCUGACUCUUGCCAUGGCCACGCCCUGCUGGGUCAUGCCAUGGUCACGCCCUUCCAUGUCCUGACACGUGCCACUGCCAGGUCCUGACACGUGCCACUGCCAUGUCCUAAUGCGUCCAGACAUAGACCAUGGCCAUGUCCUGACUCGUCCUGCGACGUCCUGACUCUAGCCAUGGCUAUGUCCUUACUUGUCCUACGACGUCCUGACUCGUGCCAUGGCCACGCCCUGCCAUGUCAUGUGAUGUCCUGACAUGUCCCGACCCGUGUCAUGCCAUGUCCUGCGACGUACUGACACGUCAUGGGCCAUGCCAUGGCUACCGCUUGCGCUCGUUGCAUAGGCCUUGGCCUCUCAAGCGACACCCUGAAAAGCCUCUAGUACUGUAACGUGGUUUGGUAUUUCCCUCGACGUGAAUAAGUGUCAAGUCACAGCGGUUCGGCAAGCGGACGGCGGGCGCAUGCGUCGCUUCUAGCUCGGAUUCUGACUUAGAGGCGUUCAGUCAUAAUCCCGCACGUUGUAGCUUCGCACCACUGGCUUUUCAACUAGGCGCGGUGAAAAAUUGUGCGAAUCAACGGUUCCUCUCGUACUAGGUUGAAUUACUAUUGCGACACUAUCAUCAGUAGGGUAAAACUAACAUGUCUCACGACGGUCUAAACCCAGCUCACGUUCCCUAUUGGUGGGUGAACAAUCCAACACUUGGUGAAUUAUGCUUCACAAUGGUAGGAAAAGCCGACAUCGAAGGAUCAAAAAGCAACGUCGCUAUGAACGCUUGGCUGCCACAAGCCAGGCCUCUGCCUUACAAUGAUAGGAAGAGCCGACAUCGAAGGAUCAAAAAGCAACGUCGCUAUAAACGCUUGGCUGCCAGAAGCCAGUUAUCCCUGUGGUAACUUUUCUGACACCUCUAGCUUCGAAUUCAGAAGGUCUAAAGGAUCGUUAGGCCACGCUUUCACGGUUCGUAUUCCCUGACACGUACAAUGGCCAUGUCCUGACACGUACCAUGGCCAUGUAGAUCGGAAGAGCGUCGUGUAGGGAAAGAGUGUAGAUCUCGGUGGUCGCCGUAUCAUUAAAAAAAAAAUGUGUUCGUAUUCGUACUGGAAAUCAGAAUCAAACGAGCUUUUACCCUUCUGUU